rnacentral:rRNA from 1 species
UACGUAGGGUGCGAGCGUUAAUCGGAAUUACUGGGCGUAAAGCGUGCGCAGGCGGUUUGUUAAGCCAGAUGUGAAAUCCCCGGGCUCAACCUGGGAAUGGCGAUGGAUACUGGGCAGCUAGAGUGUGUCAGAGGAUGGUGGAAUUCCAGGUGUAGCGGUGAAAUGCGUAGAUAUCUGGAGGAACACCGGUGGCGAAGGCGGCGUUUUGGACUGCAACUGACACUGAGGAACGAAAGCCAGGGUAGCAAACGGG